rnacentral:tRNA from 1 species
GGAGGGAUCGCAUAGAGGUCUAGUGCGGCCGCCUGCUAAGCGGUUAUCCCGGGUUACUGGGAUCCAGGGUUCGAAUCCCUGUCCCUCCGCCA